rnacentral:rRNA from 1 species
UCCUCUCUGGGUCGAUCCCCUCCAACCCACGACUCCACAACUCCUCGUGCUCCUCUCUGGAUCGAUCCGCAACCGCUUCCAACCGAGCUGCCGCAGACCUCCCCCAAUCCCGGCCUCCUCCACGCCGAUUCGAGCAACACUCCCCACUUCCAGACCAAACCCUAGCCUGAGACCCCUUCCUCCUCGAUGGCCAACCCCUCCAUGGCGGCCGGCGCCGGGGUGCCGUUGGUGGAGGGGGUCCAUGCCGUUGGGGCCCAGAUCCGCAACCGCUUCCGCGUGGCGCCCGUCGACCGCGUGGCUGCGGCCCUGGCGACGCGAUGGUAGCAUCUGCCCUGGCGGCGUUGGCCAACGAGAAACCGCGAGAUCCUCGACGCUGUGGGCACCACCGCAGCGGCGCUAAGCACCACCGAUGCUGAUGGGGUCCAACGAGGCGGACAAGCCGCUGCGGCGGAUCGGCGCGUCAUUCGAGCAGCUCGCGGCCGUCGCCAAGCAGCAGCAGCAGCCCGCGAUGGCUGCGGGGGACUUCUCACGCGCCUGCUCCAACGUCUCCGUCCUCUUCUGCUGCCUCGACAUCGCCUUCAAGUUUGCGGAGAUGGACUACGUAGCCAAGGUCGUGGCGACCACCAACAAGACACCCAACUCCCGCACCCCGAACUACCCUACCCGAGCCUGCCGUCUCAGCUGAUGUGUCAAGUCCACAACAUCACCAUGCAUGCUGACAAGGACAAUGAGGAGGUCUACGCACAGAUGACUCUGCAACCAAUAAACUCUGUGUUGUGUGUUCUGGAAGAUGGAAGAGGAAGAAAACCUAUUUUUGUUGAACUAAAUUUUUUGUAUUCUGUUUUGUUGUACGUAUCAUUUGAUAGUUCUGUAUAGGAACAAGUGAUACUAUUUUGUAGGGCUUUAUGGCCUGUGAUGUAAAACAUAUUUAGUGCUGAAAUAUGAAAUUAUUUGCAAAAUUUGUCGAAAAGGAGGAUCAUAUGUAUGAAUAUGUGAAUGGGCUGAAAAGAGUAUUGGACCAACUCCAG